rnacentral:misc_RNA from 1 species
GAUGAAGAACGUAGCGAAAUGCGAUAAGUAGUGUGAAUUGCAGAAUUCAGUGAAUCAUCGAAUCUUUGAACGCACAUUGCGCCCCUUGGUAUUCCAUGGGGCAUGCCUGUUCGAGCGUCAUUUGUACCUUCAAGCUCUGCUUGGUGUUGGGUGUUUGUCUCGCCUCUGCGUGUAGACCCGCCUCAAAACAAUUGGCAGCCGGCGUAUUGAUUUCGGAGCGCAGUACAUCUCGCGCUUUGCACUCAUAACGACGACGUCCAAAAGUACAUUUUUACACUCUUGACCUCGGAUCAGGUAGGGAUACCCGCUGAACUUAAGCAUAUCAAUAAGCGGAGGA